UAUAUGCUAGCAAACCGGUAAUUCACACAUCAAAUCAAACAUACCAAAUAUUAUCCAAACAACUAGACAUUAACUAGUCAGAGCGCAUAAUAAAAUGCACUAUGUUUCACAAGUACGAAACUGAACAAUUGUCAGAUUGCAAGCUCUUAUCAAAUCUGAAUAUUACAUGAACUAAACAUCUCAAUUCUGAAUAUUCCAAAGUACUGAACAAUAAACUUCUCAAGAUUACAGAAAUUUGAGAUCGGAGAGAGAGAGAGAAGCAGCAGCAGCAGCAAGUUGGAGGAGAGCAGCAGCAAUUUUCUGGUUUAGAGAAAAUUAGGAGGAGGAGCGGAGCAAGAGAAGGAGGAGGCAGCAGCAGGAAGUUGGAGAAGGGAGAAGCAGCGGUAGGAAGAGAAGAAGCAGAGGUAGCAGCAGUUUAGUGGAGGAAGCAGAGCAGCAGCAGAUCGGCGCAAGAAGAAGAGCAGCAGCAGGGGGGACGUGAGAGGAAGGAGUAGCAGCAAGGAGAGGGAGAAGAAGAAGCAGAGGCGUGGGGAGGUUAGAGAGAAAGCAGCAGCAGAAUUUGGGGGGAGAAGAAAGGUGGAGGAGCAGCAGCAGUUCGGGCGUGGGGAGGAGAAGAGCAUCGGGGGCGCGAGAUGGUGGAUGAUGCAGCGGCGGUUGGUGGAGAUGGCACGGUCGAGCUAGUGGAUGGAUGGGAGGUGGAGGCGCACCAUGACACCGGCCUGGCCGUGGCGGCGGCCGGAGUUGGAGAAGGAGGGGUGAGAGAGAGAGAGAGAGAUGUGCCAGGCCCGAAGGGAAUUGAGUAUGCGCUAGGGAUUUUGAUCCCCUCCCCUGUUCUGCCACUUUACGAUUUGGCCCUGCUAUUUCUCUUCUUUCUUCCCAAGUAGGUCCUGCCAUCUAUAGCUUGGCCCCUUGAUUACUUCAAUUCUUCUCGCUCAAGUCCCUUUCUUCACUUCUUUCCUGC
rnacentral:rRNA from 1 species